UACGUAGGUGACAAGCGUUGUCCGGAUUUACUGGGCGUAAAGAGCGCGCAGGCGGUCGAUCAAGUCGAGUGUGAAAGCCCCCGGUUCAACUGGGGAGGGUCAUUCGAUACUGAUCGACUCGAAGGCAGGAGAGGGUAGUGGAAUUCCCGGUGUAGUGGUGAAAUGCGUAGAUAUCGGGAGGAACACCAGUGGCGAAGGCGACUACCUGGCCUGUUCUUGACGCUGAGGCGCGAAAGCUAGGGGAGCAAACGGG
rnacentral:rRNA from 1 species